UCUGAUCAGAGUGAUUGGUUCUUUUCAUAUCUGAUGAUGAUAUGAGAUUUUAGCGUCGAAAACUAAUUGUUUGUUAGAACUUCUAGAAUCGUAAAAGAAUAUCCUAUUCAAACUGAUGCAAGUCAAGCAACAAACCAUACAAACUCCAUCUGCAUGUCUAAAAACUUUGAAAUUCCCAUCAACAGUCACACCACCAGAAUUGCAAAUGAGAAAAUCGAUAACAGAUGUAACAGAGAUUGAGAACUUUCCACAUCAGAAAUUUUCAAUGCAGCUAAGGGCAGUGGCAUUGAACAUCCAAGAAGCAUGGCCAUAUAUCCGUCAGCAUUGCAGAAAGGGGUAAAUAGUUGUGAACUGUGAAUAAACAUUUUAACAAAAUCACAACGGUCAUAAACUUGCUAAAGGGAAAAUCAAAAUUAAAUCAUGAUGCAGUUAUUUUGCAAUUGACUGUGAAGGUUGAUGAUCACAAAGUGAAUUUUCAAGCAAUGAAACAUUGAAACACAAAAGGCUAAAAAUUGCAACGAAUUUCAAGCUAUAUUGUGAAGAAAAGUAAUUUAAAUGGCUACACUAAGUAAGAUUGCACCAUGGUAUCCUAAAGAUGAAUCCAAAAACACUACCAUACAUGUACUAAAAGAAUUAAAAAAAGCUAAAAUCCACUGCUUUUCUCUCGUUAUCAGAUCUCAACAGCUUCAAACCUAGGCAUUUCUUUUCAGUUUCUGAUGAGUUCUCCACAUUGGUUGAGAUAACUCUUAUUUCAAGGGGAGGCUUUGUUAAAAAAGAUAAUGAUUCCAUCUAUUCUCAUACGUUUUCUACCCCUGUUUACGAAUUAAUACGACGUUAGAACUCCUUGCACAAUGCAUAGACUUUUUGAACAUAACAAUAGGCCGCCGAACCGAUUUGCAGACCUUAGGAGGGUAACAUGGGCAAAACAGAAAAAAGAGGCAGAAUAGGAAGCUCAUGCAAGGAUUCAUGUUGGAAAACAGAGGAGUUCAUGCAUCAGGGGAAUUAAUUGAGAACUUGAAGUUGAACUUAAUUUCAG
rnacentral:lncRNA from 1 species